rnacentral:rRNA from 1 species
AUUGAACGCUGGCGGCAUGCUUUACACAUGCAAGUCGAGCGGCAGCGCGGGGCAACCUGGCGGCGAGCGGCGAACGGGUGAGUAAUAGAUAGGAACGUGUCCGAGAGUGGGGGAUAACUAGCCGAAAGGAUAGCUAAUACCGCAUAUUCUCUGAGGAGGAAAGCGGGGGAUCGCAAGACCUCGCGCUCACGGAGUGGCCUAUCUCCGAUUAGCUAGUUGGUGGGGUAAAGGCUUACCAAGGCGACGAUCGGUAGCUGGUCUGAGAGGAUGAUCAGCCACACUGGGACUGAGACACGGCCCAGACUCCUACGGGAGGCAGCAGUGGGGAAUUUUGGACAAUGGGGGCAACCCUGAUCCAGCCAUGCCGCGUGCGGGAAGAAGGCCUUCGGGUUGUANACCGCUUUUAUUCGGAAAGAAGGAGUCCGGGCUAAUACCCCGGAUGACAGACGGUACCGGAUGAAUAAGGACC